CAGUCACACACUCACAGGCAGUCACACAGAGACAGUCACACACUCACAGUCACACACUCACACAGUCACACACUCACAGGCAGUCACACAGAGACAGUCACACACUCACAGGCAGUCACACAGAGACAGUCACACACACACAGAGACAGUCACACACUCACAGGCAGUCACACAGAGACAGUCACACACUCACAGGCAGUCACACACAGA